GAGGAAUAAUAUACCUAAAAAUGUAGAGGAGGUGGUAGAUGGUUUUGAAGAUGCCUGCCACCAAUUCUUUCCUUCCCUGUCACAUACCACUUCUCCCAUCCAGGUGGAGUCUAUUUCCUAUUCCUUGAAUUUAGCCAGCCUUGUGACUUACUGUGACCAAGAGAAUGCAGAAGUGAUAUUCUGUGACUUCAUAAUCCAUGCAUGAAGAGAACUGGCAGCUUCUUUUUCCUCCUUCUUCGAAGUCAGCUACCAGGUAAGAAGUCUGUCUUCCCUGAGACCACAGUGCUGUGAAGAAGCCCAACUUUGCCACGUUAAGAGGCCCCACCGAGAAGCAUUAAGGUAUUGGUGAGUGAAUACAGUCUUCUUGGAUUGUCCAGCUCUGCCCAGCUGCCAAAUGAAUGUAGCCAAGAGGGUCACCCCAGCUGGGGGCAAGUGGAAUGAAAGAAGCUUCUUGAUGAGCCCAUUCAACCCACAGAAUCCUAAGGAGUUAUACAUUAUUGAUGCUUUAAGACACAAAGUUUUGAAGCAGCUUGUCAUAAAGCAACAGCAAUGAGGCAAGCAGUUUUCCUCUUCUAUGUGCUCCUGCCAUGAUGAACUGCCUCACCACAGGCUCAAAAGCAAAUGAGGCUCAGUGAUCACGGACUGAAGCUUCGGAAAUUAAGCAGAGCUGAAGCUGGAGCUGUGUCCUUGGAUUUAUAGAACUCUGACUACAGAUAAAUCCAACUGCAGCAAGCAAAAUCAAGGAUAAGGGGUAGCUACAAUAGACGGUGGUGUAGGAGUCUCCGCAGCAGUGACCUGACAGCCUGCCUUUCACUGUUUCUGAGGAGCAGCUGGCAGAACUGCCCCAGCCCAGGGCGUCUGCAGUGUCGCCAACCAUACCUGGUUCCGCUCACCCAAUAGGCGAGAUCAUCAGCUGUACCUGCUGGGCGGGAGAGUGACAAUGGGCAUUAGCAGCUGGCUUGAGAUGCUCCCACCUCACACUCUGCACACUUUUACAACAAAUUUUCUUUUGUGAAUCUGUAAUACUAUGGUCUGAAUGUUGUGAUCCCCCAAAUUCACAUGUUGAACCCUAAUCACCACAUGACCAGUGAUAGGAAGUGGGAGCCUUUUGGGAGGUGACUAGGGGAUGAGGGCAGAGCCCCAUUGGUGAGUCGACCCUUACUCUGCUCUUCACCCUCUGACCCUUUCGGUCCUGAAAUUCUCUGUUCUCUGGUGAUCUUCCUGGAGGAAGCAAGAAGAACAAAGAUAGCAUUUCCUUGGAUAGCCUCUCUACCCUGAGAAGACCAUCUCACUCCUGUGUUCCCAUUCUCUAGCCCACCCUUUUCUCUGGGCCUGAUGUGUGGUGGAUCUUUUUUAACCACCAGCUCUGUGCUUAUGUUCCUGUCCCUGCUCUAUGAAUCCCUGCUCUACAGGCAAUGGCAAUUCAUGGCAGCACAGUGUGGUCUGGCAGGGCUGUGUGCAUCAGGGGCAUAAGUGGGGGAGGCCCCAGAGAGGAUGUGGUUGAUUUUACUUAGCUGAUGAGAUGUGGGUAGCAGGAGAUACCAUAAGUUUGGUCUUGCACCAAGGGCAGAGGAUGGGUAUCUUCGUCCACUUUUCUGUUGCUGUAACAAA